CCAGCCAUUAUCACGCCUCGAAUAGUUAAGGCAACUCCCUAGUAUCCCCUAAUACUCUCCGUGCGCACUGCCGUGAGAGUUUCGGGAUGUCCGCAUCGUCGGAGCGUCCAGGCGGGACCGUGCACAUUGCGCGCGGCGGCUCCGCCCCUGCGACUCCGGGAUCCUCGGCCGCCCCGCCCCCGCCUCUCCUCGGGCCCGCGAUUUACUGAGGAAACGGGAUCUCUGCCCUGUGGGACGUCCGAGCCCUCGCAUUCGGCUCAGGCCUUACUGAUGAUGUCGUUUGACCUGUUUCUCUGUCCUCCAUGGUUCUCGGAAAUUCAUAGUCCGCUUUAAAGUCCUGAGGAGAGCCGCGCUCGCUUUUUCGAGCCUGCGCGCUUCGUCGGGAGGGCAGCCCGGUGGAGGCGCCUGGCGAAGCGGGGGCUUCAGCGGAGGUCGUCAGCCCGACCCCCGUUAGAAGGGUUCCCACCAAACCUCCUAAUGCUUUUCGAAUACACUGCGGGUCUCGUUUGUUUGUUUUUAACCCUUGGCUCACGAGCUGUAAGGAUGUAAACCCAAGGCCCUUGGUGUCCAAGUUCCGUGCGCCGAGGAACAAAACUGAGAAUAAGGGCAGGAAAAGACACAGAGAAUGCAAAACUGAAGCUGUGUUUCCGGCGCUGCGCCGCUGAGAGGCUCUCCUGGAGCCGCCGCGGGUGGGCCUGGUUGCUGGGUCUCGGGCCCCGCCUCCCGCACUCGCCGCCCCGCUGUGGCCGCGCUUUCUUCGGCAGAGGCCGUCGCGUCUGAAAAAUGGCUCCGCCCACCCUCGUCUCUGUUGGAAUGCCGACUGAUGUGUCUCUUCUGGAUGGUUUCUGAAUGUCGUUUUCUGUCAGGCAGGUGUGCUGCCUCAUCCAUUAGGACAACGUGCCAGAGGUGUGCGAAUUUCACGUGUUGGAUUUCCUUACUCUCUUUUCUCGUUUCUGUUACACAGUUGUCUUUUCCUCCAAAUUCUUGUUACCCUUCAGUCUUUUCCUCCAGUUUCUUCUUCCUCCAUGCUGAGCCGCUCCCUGUCUACAUUGCGUACCUCGCUAAGCGAACGCGUUUACCCACUUCACCUUCUGCCUUUGUCAUCACGCUCGUGUCUUCACGCUACACAUCCGUAACAUUAAAACUCUAUUGGCUUCUGCUAAACUAAAAAAUAUUUAAGUCCCAUCUUUGCAUUUUGACAAAAACAGUUCUUGCUCUUAUCACCAGUUAAGGAUAUGUAAAUCUCUAGUCACUUUCUGAGGGGGAGAUAGUGUUCUUUACCACGUCUUUUGGAAGUCAUAUCGGAAGCUUUUCAAUCGUUUGUAUUCCGAGUUAAGAUAUGACUCAUGGGAAGAAAGAGUCUCAAAAGGCAUUGUUAACAAAUUGACAUUAGGAGACAUUGAUUUAAAGGAUUUUUCUCAGCUUAUCCGAUGUUUUAACAAGAAAAGGAGUUUUAUUUUUAUAUUCUGGAAGAUUUGGAGUCUACUACCAAUAAAUGUUGUCAUAGUAAUUUCCACUAUUUACAUUAGCAGUGGAAUAAAACAACUAUCUAGGUUUUCUUAGUGGUGCAUAAAACUGUGAUUCAUAUAGAGAUGUAGUAUCUCAUUUUUCAGAGACAGAAGCUGAGUCUGAGAUAAGGGUGUAGUAUUUUCGCUAGGCCGUACUGGCACUGGUCCUACCAUCUUCUGGGGCCAAAUCCAUUGGUCUUUCCAACUGCACCACUUGUAGUAUUACCAGGUCAUACUAGUUGCACCAUAGGUUACAAAGAACAGAAUAAAGACUUCCAG
ensembl:lncRNA